GUUCCAGAGCCGCCGCAGCCAAUGGGGAGCGCUGGGAGACGCCCUCAGCUUCACCCAGCCAAUGGGAGAGCCCUGAGCAGGGGCGGGGCUGCCGGCAGCCAAUGGGAGAGCAGAGAGCGAUGACGUCAUCACCACGGGGAAGCUCCGCCCCUUUCCCCCAAAUAAAGGCAUUGACCACACCCAAA